UUCUAGAGCUGCCUUAGGCACAAAAGCUGGCUGUGAUGUAAAGAUUCUAGGCUGAGUCCUUUCUUGACUCCACCCCCAAGCUUUGCCUGCUCUUCUACAAGGAGCCAGUUUGUGCAGAAGUUAAAUCAACAGGCAAGAGACUGGGAGACAGAUGUGCCAGGAAGCCAAGAAAGAGAUGUAAAGGGAAUCAGCAUGGUAGUUGUGCUCUGUUCUUUAGAAGCUAUUUUAUGAAACACCAUUGAAGAAUGUUGCUUGAAGCACCAGCAAAGGAAACCGCUUCUUAGAUACAUUGUACAGUUCUACUUCUAUGCAGUCUCUCUCCCUCCCUUCUCUCUUUCUCUUCCUCUGUGUCUGUAUGUCUGUAGACAAAAAUGGAGACUACUGCAAGAAUGGUCAGCUCAGUCAUCUUUCUUAUGGUCCAAUAAAUGUCCCUAGAACUCU